rnacentral:rRNA from 1 species
UACGGGGGGGGCAAGCGUUGUUCGGAAUUACUGGGCGUAAAGGGCUCGUAGGCGGCCAACUAAGUCAGACGUGAAAUCCCUCGGCUUAACCGGGGAACUGCGGCUGAUACUGGAUGGCUUGAGUUUGGGAGAGGGAUGCGGAAUUCCAGGUGUAGCGGUGAAAUGCGUAGAUAUCUGGAGGAACCCCGGUGGCGAAGGCGGCAUCCCGGGCUAACACUGACGCUGAGUGAGCGAAAGCCAGGGGAGCAAACGGG